rnacentral:rRNA from 1 species
UACGAAGGGGGCUAGCGUUGCUCGGAAUCACUGGGCGUAAAGGGUGCGUAGGCGGGUCUUUAAGUCAGGGGUGAAAUCCUGGAGCUCAACUCCAGAACUGCCUUUGAUACUGAAGAUCUUGAGUUCGGGAGAGGUGAGUGGAACUGCGAGUGUAGAGGUGAAAUUCGUAGAUAUUGCAAGAACACCAGUGGCGAAGGCGGCUCACUGGCCCGAUACCUGACGCUGAGGCACGAAAGCGUGGGAGCAACAGGGA